rnacentral:rRNA from 1 species
CAGUCCCCCAUGCACGGCAUGCCUUCUAAGAGUCGCGUUCCUCGGAAUUGGAGCGUAAAUUGGGUGGUAAAUUUCAUCUCAAGCUAAAUAUUGGUUCGAGACCGAUAGCAAACAAGUACCAUGAGGGAAAGGUGAAAAGGACUUUGAAAAGAGAGUUAAAAGUGCCUGAAAUUGCUGAAAGGGAAGCGAAUGGAACCAGUGUUGCUUGGCGUAGAUUGUCGUGCGCAUUCGCGUGUGGUGGUUCUUCCCUUGUGUGUCAAGGCCAGUUCGCGUAUCGAGGGAAAACUCCAGGGACAUGGUAGCCUGUCUCCGGGUGGGUGAAUGUGCUUGGUA